GCCGCGAUCGACCGCGUGUCCGCCAAGUCGGCCAGCUUCCGCAUUCCGCGCAGCCGGCUUUGGGAUGGCGAGGACCUCUCGUCCAGCACCGCCACCACCGGCCGCUCCAUCGCGAAGGACAACCUUAGCCUCAAGUCACGUCUGGUGCACGGGUUCAAGAGCCUGUUCGGCCGGAGGCCAGGGAACAAUGUCGCGCCGCCUCCUGCGAGCAGUGAUGACGCUGGCACUGAUGUCCGCGUCGGCGAGGAAGGCGCGUGUGUGUCAUGUCCGCCGGAGCCAGAGGACGGCUACGACAAGGAGUUGUGCAAGGAGGAGUGGAGUGCUCGGCCUCACCGGAGGAACCUGUCGAUGGUGUGACCAGGCGAUGACCGCGAGAGCCGAGAGAUCAGUGGCAAUAGGUGCACGCCGAAUACUUGUUGGAUGCUUUGGUGCUUAAUCUACUAUAUUAAAGGAGGAUCUUCCGUCGUGAUGGUUCGACCUCGUACGAUCUCCACCUCCCUUCGUUCGGCCUCCCCCUCGCACGAACACGAUCCGAUCACUUCGGACAAUGCCGCACAGAAAAAAAGAAAUCCGUCCAUCCGAGAAACGAGCAACAAAACCAACUUCUUCACUAUUUGCGUCCCACCCAACAGGUAAACAGAGAAAAGAGUCGUAUCCACUCCUGCCACCCCCACGAGAGCACGACCCACGCGAAACAGAUCCCCCAGUUUCUCCGCUCGCACACCCCACCUUCCUGCAGCCGCGCACAGCGCCGCCAACAAUACCCUAGCGCCCGCGUGCCGACGAGUCGCUGUCGUGCCCCACCCUUCAUCUCUACUAUUAAAGAAGGAUCUGCCGUCGUGAUGGUUAGACAUCGUACGAUCCCCACCUCCCUUCGUUCGGCCUCCCCCUCGCACGAGCACGAUCCGAUCACCUCGUAUAAUUCCGCACAGAAAAAAGGAAAUCCGUCCAUCCGAGAAACGAGCAACAAAAACCACCUUCUCCACUUCUUGCGUCCCACCCAACAGGUAAACAGAAAAAAG
rnacentral:lncRNA from 1 species